rnacentral:rRNA from 1 species
AUUGAACGCUGGCGGCAUGCCUUACACAUGCAAGUCGUACGGCAGCACGGGUGCUUGCACCUGGUGGCGAGUGGCGAACGGGUGAGUAAUACAUCGGAACAUGUCCUGUAGUGGGGGAUAGCCCGGCGAAAGCCGGAUUAAUACCGCAUACGAUCUACGGAUGAAAGCGGGGGACCUUCGGGCCUCGCGCUAUAGGGUUGGCCGAUGGCUGAUUAGCUAGUUGGUGGGGUAAAGGCCUACCAAGGCGACGAUCAGUAGCUGGUCUGAGAGGACGACCAGCCACACUGGGACUGAGACACGGCCCAGACUCCUACGGGAGGCAGCAGUGGGGAAUUUUGGACAAUGGGCGAAAGCCUGAUCCAGCAAUGCCGCGUGUGUGAAGAAGGCCUUCGGGUUGUAAAGCACUUUUGUCCGGAAAGAAAUCCUUGGCCCUAAUACGGUCGGGGGAUGACGGUACCGGAAGAAUAAGCACCGGCUAACUACGUG